rnacentral:tRNA from 1 species
GCCCGAGUGGCGGAAUUGGUAGACGCACCGGACUUAAAAUCCGUUGGCCGCAAGGCCGUGGGGGUUCGAGUCCCCCCUUGGGCA